AGAGCGAACGCUGGCGGCAGGCUUAACACAUGCAAGUCGAACGCCCCGCAAGGGGAGUGGCAGACGGGUGAGUAACACGUGGGAACGUCCCCCUCGGUUCGGAAUAACUCAGGGAAACUUGAGCUAAUACCGAAUACGUCCGAGAGGAGAAAGAUUUAUCGCCGAGGGAUCGGCCCGCGUCUGAUUAGCUAGUUGGUGAGGUAACGGCUCACCAAGGCGACGAUCAGUAGCU
rnacentral:rRNA from 1 species